rnacentral:tRNA from 1 species
GCCGAGGUGGCGGAGUGGCCACGCGACAGCCUGCAGAGCUGUUCUAUGUGGGUUCAAAUCCCACCCUCGGCUCCA